UACAGGGGGGGGCAAGCGUUGUUCGGAAUUACUGGGCGUAAAGGGCUCGUAGGCGGCCAACUAAGUCCGACGUGAAAUCCCCAGGCUUAACCUGGGAACUGCGUCGGAUACUGGAUGGCUUGAAUUCGGGAGAGGGAUGCAGAAUUCCAGGUGUAGCGGUGAAAUGCGUAGAUAUCAGGAGGAACACCGGUGGCGAAGGCGGGUCUCUGGACCGUAACUGACGCUGAGGCGCGAAAGCGUGGGGAGCAAACAGG
rnacentral:rRNA from 1 species